UGAGUGAGGCCAGGAUACUAGUUGGGUUCCUAACCCUCUGAGCCACUAUAGGAACUCCCCCUGCUUUAAACUCUUAAAUGGGAGUUUCCUAGUGGCUCAGCAGUUCAAGGAUUUGGCAUUGUCACUUCCGUGGUUCUGGUCACUGCUGUGACUUGGGCUCGAUUUCUGGCCUGGGAAUUUCCACUUGCCUUGGGUGUCCCCCCCCCCCACAAAAAAAAAACCCUUACAGUAGCUUUGUACUGAUCUUUCUCCUUGCUAGUCUCAUCUUCCUCAAAUCCAUCUUCAAACUGUAGUUUGGCCAGUGGUUAUCAUAAACCAUCACUUCAUGCCUCUAUCAUACAAUGAUUGUAUUGUAAUGAAAUUACUCUUUUGCUGUGUCUGUCCCCCUAAUAGACUGAUCUCCUUGAGGCAGGGAGCUGCCCUUUUGUCUUGAAUUCUUAGUGUCCAGUGUCACCCAACUGGUGUGGGCGCUAAAUAUUACAAGUCAUUUCCCAGACCCUUCAUACCAUCAAUGCUCCCCUUUACAUAAGAGGGGAAAGAAACAUUCAGACCUACUUUUUGCUCUGAAUCUGAGUUGGAGGUUGGGUUGGCAGCAUUUGAAAGCAGAACUUAUUAGAUCUUCAGAGAACUUAUAAUGGCUUUGUCAACAGAUGCUCUUGGAAGGGUUGGGGGGAAAAAAUGCUCAAGCAAAAGAUGAAAGCUAUCAAGAUUCCUCAGGCUUAAAAUCUGUUUAUCACCCUCUGACUCACUUGAAAAGGAGAGUGGGGCAUUUGCCAGUAUUUGAUCACCGGUCUUUUCUCAAUUGUUAUAUCUGCUAUUAUUUUAACAUCUAGGAUUAAGGACUUAUUUAGCCCUUGAGAUGCUAGGUAAUGCCUCUUAACCACAACUGCAAAACAGGCAUCUGCCCCCAGCUGAGUCUUCACCUCACAUUACCUAAGGAACCCUUGUCAUCCCUGAGGAAAGGCUGGGUUACAGCAGGGAUCCCCACAUUGUCAUGCAUCAGAAUCACCUGUAGGCUUAUAAAAAUCUGUAUUUCUGGAGUUCCCAUUGUAGCCCAAUGAUUAACGAACCUGACUAGCAUCCAUGCGGACUCAGGUUCAAUCCCUGACCUCGCUCAGUGGGUUAAGGAUCUAGUGUUGCCUUGAGCUGUGGUGUAGGUCGCAGACGCAGCUCAGAUCCCCCGUUGCUGUGACUCUGGUGUAGGCUGGUGGCUAAAGCUCUGAUUUGACCCCUAGCCUGGGAACCUCCAUAUGCCGUAGGUGUGGCCCUAAAAGACAAAAAAAAAGGGGGGGGGAAUCUGCAUUUUUAACAGGUUCCUGCAGAGGCUGCAGCUGCCAGUCCAGAAACCACACUCUGAGAAACAUGGGGUACGGGGUAUGAGGCUUCUCUAAUUUCAGUGUCCCUGUGAAUUACCUGGGCAUGAGGUUCAUAUGCAGCUUUUGCUUCAUUGGGUCUGGGCUGGGGGGUCAAGGUUCUAUAUUUCUAAGAAGAAUCCAAAUUGCUAUUGGUCUUGGACCACUUUUAAGUUCUCUUCUCUGGCUGAUUAUUAGAAUCUUCUGAAAGGUUUACAAAAUAGUGCUGCCCAGAAAUUCCACAAGAUUCUGCUCUAAUGGGCCUGCAUAGGGGCCCAGAAAUCUGUAUUUUUAAUGAGCCACCCCAGAUAGUUCUAUUACAGAUGAUCCAUGGUCCACAUUGGAAGAGAAACUGGUCUAGAAAGGACAAAUUCAUUUGUGGAAUGUUUCUAUCAAUGCGGCUGUCUAAAAAUAUAUACACUACUUGUAGAAUAUAUUUAAAAGACUAUUACAUUUCAUUGUUCCUAAGGUGCCCUUUUUCAUAUUUUGAUAUCCGUAAAAUUGGAAGACCUCUCACCACCAGUGGGGCUUACAGCAGUAUUGGCAGCAUUUUAUUUCUCUCUGGUACCUAAGGUGACUGAUAGAUAAAAUACAGAGGUCCUUACUCUAUGAAAUUCAGCAUAUUAACUUUAAAUGAUUUGAAGAAACACAAAUAAACAGGGCUUAUUCACAAUAUAUCAGUACUUUUGGGGACUAAUUCGAUUUUCAUCACAUGAGAAGUUUUUAAAAUACAUCAAAAGUGUUUGCACUUUCCCUUCCCUUUCCACGGAAGAGGGUAUCUGUUGUGUGAGGAACAGGAGUGAAGUGUGGAGAGGCGAUGUAGGAAGAGAAAAAGGCCAAAACACCCUCAGAGGGCCCUGGACCAAGAUGGAAGUGAGAUCGAAGCUGGCCAGAGGCGACAAGAAGGGCUGGUUUGGGACGAGGAGUCUGAGUGUGAGCCUGGGAACCCGUCCCACCCCUGAGCCACAUCUCCAGAAACCCAUGUUCCUUCCCAAUUCUUUAAACUUAAUGUGUGUGAGAGAUAAGGUGGCCUGAAAUAGUCAGAUCACCUGGACAUUAAAAGUAGCGUUUGUUUGCUCUCCUUUCUCUUUGAGGGUAGGCAGGCUCCCUGGACAUACAUCUCCUUUAACUUAGGGCUUCAAAAAAUUAAUUCUGCAUCUUUACAAUGGCAUUUCCAAAGAGUGUGUAAAAUGUUUAUGGACAUGAAGGAGAAAAAUCACAUGCGUAGAUGAUGGAUGGAUGGAUA
rnacentral:lncRNA from 1 species